GACGAACGCUGGCGGCGUGCUUAACACAUGCAAGUCGAACGGAAAGGCCCUGCUUGCAGGGUGCUCGAGUGGCGAACGGGUGAGUAACACGUGGGUGAUCUGCCCCUUACUUUGGGAUAAGCCUGGGAAACUGGGUCUAAUACUGGAUAGGACCAUGCUGUAGGUGGUGUGGUGGAAAGAUUAGUUUCGGUAAGGGAUGAGCUCGCGGCCUAUCAGCUUGUUGGUGGGGUAAUGGCCUACCAAGGCGUCGACGGGUAGCCGGCCUGAGAGGGUGGACGGCCACAUUGGGACUGGGAUACGGCGCAGACUCCUACGGGAGGCAGCAGUGGGGAAUAUUGCACAAUGGGCGCAAGCCUGAUGCAGCGACGCCGCGUGGGGGAUGACGGCCUUCGGGUUGUAAACUCCUUUCAGCCAUGACGAAGCCCUUGUGGUGACGGUAGUGGUAGAAGAAGCACCGGCUAACUACGUG
rnacentral:rRNA from 1 species